rnacentral:rRNA from 1 species
CGUGUAGGCGGUUUCGUAUGUCUGACGUGAAAGCCCCGGGCUCACCCCGGGAAGUGCGUUGGAAACUGCGAGACUAGAGUCCCGGAGAGGAAGGUGGAAUUCCAGGUGCAGCGGUGAAAUGCGUAGAUAUCUGGAAGAACACCGGUGGCGAAGGCGGCCUUCUGGACGGUGACUGACGCUGAGACGCGAAAGCGUGGGGAGCAAACA